rnacentral:rRNA from 1 species
UAGCCUUGACAUAUUAUAGAAUUCAGUAGAGAUACAGAAGUGCCUUCGGGAGCUAUAUUACAGGUGCUGCACGGCUGUCGUCAGCUCGUGUCGUGAGAUGUUGGGUUAAGUCCCGCAACGAGCGCAACCCUCGUCACUAGUUACUAACGGUUAGGCCGAGGACUCUAGUGAGACUGCCUUCGUAAGGAGGAGGAAGGUGAGGACGACGUCAAGUCAUCAUGGCCCUUACGGCUAGGGCAACACACGUGCUACAAUGGUAGGGACAAAGAGCAGCGAGACAGCGAUGUUCAGCCAAUCUCAAAAACCCUAUCUCAGUUCGGAUUGAAGUCUGCAACUCGACUUCAUGAAGUUGGAAUCGCUAGUAAUCGUAGAUCAGCAUGCUACGGUGAAUACGUUCCCGGGCCU